UACGUAGGGGGCAAGCGUUGUCCGGAAUCAUUGGGCGUAAAGAGCGUGUAGGCGGCCCGAUAAGUCCGCUGUGAAAGUCCAGGGCUCAACCCUGGGAUGCCGGUGGAUACUGUCGGGCUCGAGUCCGGAAGAGGAGUGUGGAAUUCCUGGUGUAGCGGUGAAAUGCGCAGAUAUCAAGAGGAACACCAAUGGCGAAGGCAGCACUCUAAAACGUGACUGACGCUGAGACGCGAAAGCGUGAAAAGCAAACAGG
rnacentral:rRNA from 1 species